AGAAUAGGCCCAAGCGACUGUUUAUCAAAAACACAGGUCUCUGCUAAACCGUAAGGUGAUGUAUAGGGGCUGAUGC
rnacentral:rRNA from 1 species